rnacentral:pre_miRNA from 16 species
AAAAGAUUAGAAGCAGCAUAGUUCAGUCUAAGUAGUAGUGCCGCAGGUAACAAUAACUGAGUUUACCUGCUCUCUACUGCUUAAGUUGAGUAUGUUUGCUGAGAUGUGA